UACGGAGGGUGCAAGCGUUGUUCGGAAUCACUGGGCGUAAAGGGCGCGUAGGCGGUCCGCUAAGUCUGAUGUGAAAGCCCGAGGCUUACCCUCGGAAGUGCAUUGGAGACUGGCGGACUGGAGUCCCGGAGAGGAGGGUGGAAUUCCUGGUGUAGCGGUGAAAUGCGUAGAUAUCAGGAGGAACACCGGUGGCGAAGGCGGCCCUCUGGGCCGGUACUGACGCUGAGGAGCGAAAGCGUGGGGAGCAAACAGG
rnacentral:rRNA from 1 species